CCCAUACAAUCUUGCUAGCGCAUGCCUUUAGAUAAAAGCUCCGGCGGUGUAAAAUGAGCGUGCCCCCUAUUAGCUAGUUGGAGAGGUAAUGGCUCACCAAGGCUACGAUGGGUAGGGGUUCUUAGUGGAAGGUCCCCCACACUGGCACUGAGAUACGGGCCAGACUCCUACGGGAGGCAGCAGUAGGGAAUAUUGGUCAAUGGGCGCAAGCCUGAACCAGCCAUGCCGAGUGCAGGAUGAAGGCUCUCUGAGUUGUAAACUGCUUUUGUACAGGAGCAAAAAAGCCCCUGCGGGGGCUCUUGAGAGUACUGUAAGAAUAAGCACCGGCUAAUUCCGUGCCAGCAGCCGCGGUAAUACGGAAGGUGCAAGCGUUAUCCGGUUUUAUUGGGUUUAAAGGGUGCGUAGGCGGCUUAUUAAGUCAGUUGUGAAAUCCUAGUGCUUAACGCUAGAACUGCGAUUGAUACUAUUAGGCUUGAGUUUAAGAAAAGGUAGGCAGAAUUUAUGGUGUAAUAAUGAAAUGCUUAAAAAUCAUAAGGAAUACCAAUAGCGUUAGGCCAGCUUAAUGGGUCUUUAACUG
rnacentral:rRNA from 1 species